rnacentral:tmRNA from 3 species
GGGGGUGCUGGGGCUCGACAGAUAAGCGGGUCAUACCGGAGCAGGCAGAGGACGGUGGUUGGCCUCUUUAAACAUCCACCAAAAAAAUAAACGCCGAUUAUAAUUACGCUUUAGCUGCGUAAGGCAGCUAACGUUCUGUGAUGUUUCAGUCUGCAGGAUACACAGAAUGUAGGCAUGCGGACAAUCUGAAUUUGUUUGCCUGGGGCAAGUUCAGAGCAAUUUACAGGCUACGCUUCCAAGCUAUGUUACUCGAGCAAGGAAGAAGAAAAAUAAAGAGUAACUAAGCCUGUAGCUGUCGAUAUGAAAUGCUUAUUUGGACGCGGGUUCAACUCCCGCCACCUCCACCA